ensembl:lncRNA
AAGAUGGAGAGGAAGGUAGGGAUGAAAUAAGGAAGGAAGGAAGGAUACAUUUAUCUGUUGGAACAUGGUCACAGUCUCCGGGCGUACGUACGAGCGACAGUGGGCGCGCGCACAAAUACACACAUCCCAGACAACACGCACUAAACCUCUGUCCAAACUUUCCUCCCCUUCAGUCUGUGCGUGACUCGCCAAGUCGUGAGAGCGCAAGAAGAACUUUCCGCUCUCUAGCACGGCUUAAAUUCGCGUUUUAAUUCCGCUACCAAGAUUAGCCUGCUGUUUUAUGUGAGUGUGCUUUUCACUCGAGGCUUGUUCAGCAAUCGGCGACCCCGCCUACCUCAUCAGCUCUCUUUUGUUCUUUCUCCGUCCAAUUUCAUCUCCCGAACACAAGGUGCACCAUGGGAAACAAGAUCAGCAGAAGACGGGACACUGCACCAGCCGAGCAGAAGGCUGCAGAGGAGGCAAUCGACACGCAGGAAGCUGUGGUGGAGGCUGAGCCAGAGCCCCCCAAGCAGCCAGAGACUGCACCCUCAUUGGAGGAGCCGGUGAGCGUCCCACUAGUAGCCCCAGCACCACCUGAACCCGAGCCCCUGGUGUCAGUCAGCAAACCAGUGCCAGUCGCCCCGGAGCCAAAGCCAGUCGCCCCGGAGCCAAAGCCAGUCGCCCGGAGCCAAAGCCAGUCGCCCGGAGCCAAAGCCAGUCGCCCGGAGCCAAAGCCAGUCGCCCCGGCGCCAAAGCCAGUCGCCCCGGAGCCAAAGCCAGUCGUCAUAGAACAGGAGGCUGUCCCAGAGCCAAACCUCUCCCAGGAGUUCCUCCUACAGCCAGUCAUUCCAGAGACCCUCCCCUCCCCCACCCCUCUUCUGGACCUGGGUGUCCCUGAGCUGACCCCUGAGCCCCUCGAUGCUCCCCCCUCCCACAGAUCUGCCCCAGACCAGCCCACAGACCUGGGGGGUGCAGAAUGCUAUGACGACAACGUAAAGGGUGCCUGGAAUUCUGUCUCCGUCCCAGAAGAGUCCAAAGAAACCCCGGAGAAGCCAGCAACCAUGGCGGAGAAGCUUCUGUGUGAUGUCAUGGGCAGCGAGCUGAGCAAAGCGGAUUCUUCAACCACUUAGCCCUGACGGCCGAUGACAUCAUGGUCAAUGAUGUCAUAGCAGACGACAUUUCGGAAGGUGACGUGUCCACUGAGCUGAUAUGGGAGAAGAAAAUAAAAAUAAGAACUAGAAGAAAAAAAUGGACAAUGACGUUCUAAAAAAGGCAGACGCAAGCAGAAAAAAAAUGUAUAAAAAAAGAAUACAACUUUGAUCUGAGAAGGCUAAAGGGAAAACUAAGACCGUGAAGUAGCACUCAGAUAAUCUGAGACCUGGGAUGUAUUCCCUAGGAACCAAGUGUACGCAAACAGAAUUAAACUGGGUGGGACCUACAUGAAUUUGUCCAAUAGAAAUUCUAGUUUCUGUUGCGAAACAUUUUGGAAUAAUGAUUAGACCCCAGGUAAUAGACGUGCCUUUCUUUCUGAGUGUAGGUUGACUAAAGGGAUUUGGUGAUGGGUGGCCAGGGCAGAAGUGUACCCAUCAUCGCCCUCUGAGCCAUAUAGACAUAACACUGCAUAGCAGAACACUUACAGUAACUAUAUGUGGUAACUAUGUAUGACAAGACGUUUGCCUUGGUGUGUACACCUGAUGAAUUGUAACAACGUUUGAAAUUGGCCUACAUACUAUGAUGUACAUUCAUGCUUGGACUCUCACAAUCCUUCCUCUUUAACUCUGAAACGGAGGUGACCUUAUUAUAUUUCCUUGGAGGAAUGUAUUAAAGGUGAUGGUCUGGUUGUGAAAAUAAAAUAAGAUUGUUCCACCUUGAAGAUGAUUCUUUGUUUUCAUUCUUUUCUAAUGUGGUUUUUAGUCUUUAAAGAGGCCGAGGCCUGCAAGUGCAUUGUUUCUAAGACUGAC